GUUUUCACAAAAUGUGCCCCUUUAUACAGCCCAUCAUGGAUGCUAUUCGUGGCCAGUCUUGCUCAUCCUGUUGCUUCACAGUUCAUUUUAGGAUCAUAAAUGUAGCUGCGCCCCUGUCGAUGCUUGGCUUGACGGCGCCCCCGCCCCCACUACCUCCAGCCGCGCCGAUGCCUGGUGGCCCUGCUGGAGAGAUGGAGCUCAAACCCCAGAAAGCAGCCGUCGGAAGGCACUCAGGUGUUGGCCGCAGCUGGCUGUAGUUCCGGGAAGAGCUUGCAGGCGGUCGGCCCAGUUUGAUCCUUUCUGUAAUCGGAAAAGGAUUGCGUUGCCUGGCCCAGUCAGCUCAGUUUCCCGAGAAUUAAACAGAGAAAUCGCUUUUCUGAGACAAGGAGGUUCCAUCUUGGCCUGAGUUGUUUCCAAGUUCAUGUUGGGGAAGGAAGGGGCGGCGGGGGGAGGGGGAGGUCAGGCAUAAAGUUGGUAAUUCACCUGGAUCUCCUCGGCUUUAACACGCGGGCCUGCCUUAACCUCCCGAGUGAUGUAUCCGGGCGUUUGUCCCCGAAAACAACACUUGGAUGCGAUGGAGAAAAGGAAGAGAUCUGAAAACUUGGGGAGUGGGGGAGAAAGGAAGAGAGAAGACAUGCAAAUGAUGAGGGAUUCUAGGAUGAGUUUUUUAAACAGUCGGAGCUCUUUUAAGGCAAAAAGCAUCUGAAGGUUUGGGGUGUACGUGUGCCUUUGGGCACACAUGAGACGAGUACAGUGUCGGGGCUGAAGGCUGGCAAGGCUCAGAUACUGGGCUUUUUGAAAACCCCACUAUUAGGGGGAGGUGGGCGUUGACUCCCGCGAAGUAUUAAAAGAAGCAAUACUUGUCACUUAAGGAAGUACGUGCGCUUGGUGGAACCUGAUUCCAGAUCUAAGUUCUGAUGCUCGCUCUGUGUCCCCAGUUUCUCAAAAGCUCACUUAACAGAACCUUAAGCCCUAUUUGUCGGACCGAUGCAAAUUAUCUUUUGGUUUGCGCAUUAAGAGUUGACUUCAGUACAUUUUAGGGCUCCUAUUCUUUUCUAAACAACCUUCGCGGAUAGGAGCACCCAAUCUUUCUCAAAACUCUUCCCCUUACCUAACCCCCCUCCCUACCCCCCACCUUUGGGGUGAAGGUGGG
rnacentral:lncRNA from 1 species